GCGGCCUAUCAGCUUGUUGGUGAGGGUAACGGCCUACCAAGGCAGCGACGGGUAGCUGACCUUGAGAGAACCAUCAGCCACACUGGGACUGAGACACGGCCCAGACUCCUACGGGAGGCAGCAGAAGGGAAUCUUGCGCAAUGGGCGAAAGCCUGACGCAGCAACGCCGCGUGCGGGAUGACGGCCUUCGGGGUUGUAAACCGCUUUCAGCAGGGACAAAAAUGACGGUACCUGCAUAAGAAUCCCCGGCUAACUACCUGCCGACAGCCGCGGUAAUACCUAGGGGGCGAGCGUUGUCCGGAAUCAUUAGGCGUAAAGAGCUCGAAUGCGGGUCAAUAAGUCGGGUGUGAAAGCUCCCAACUCAACUCGGAGAGGCCACCCGAUACUGCUGAGACUAGAAUCCAGAAAGGGAGCGUGUAACUCCUGGUGUAGCAGAGAGAUGCUCAUAUAUCAGGAAGAACACGAGCAGCGAACGCGACGCUCUGGGCUGGAAUUGACGCUGAUCAGCGAAAGUGCGGAUACUAAACAGGAUUAGAUACCCUGGCAGACCACACCAUAAACGUUGGGCACUAUGUGUGGAGAGGAAUCAACCCUCUCUGUGCCGUAUCUAAUGCAUUAAGUGCCCCGCCUGAUGAGUACGG
rnacentral:rRNA from 1 species